GACGAAGGGGGCUAGCGUUGCUCGGAAUUACUGGGCGUAAAGCGCGUGUAGGCGGCUGUUCAAGUUGGGCGUGAAAGCCUUGGGCUUAACCCAAGAAAUGCGCUCAAUACUGGAUAGCUAGAGGACCGGAGAGGAUAGUGGAAUUCCCAGUGUAGUGGUGAAAUACGUAGAUAUUAGGAAGAACACCAGUGGCGAAGGCGGCUCACUGGUCCGGUACUGACGCUGAGGUGCGAAAGCGUGGGGAGCAAACAGG
rnacentral:rRNA from 1 species